AUUGAACGCUGGCGGCAGGCUUAACACAUGCAAGUCGAGCGGAGAUGAGGUGCUUGCACCUUAUCUUAGCGGCGGACGGGUGAGUAAUGCUUAGGAAUCUGCCUAUUAGUGGGGGACAACAUUCCGAAAGGAAUGCUAAUACCGCAAACGUCCUACGGGAGAAAGCAGGGGAUCUUCGGACCUUGCGCUAAUAGAUGAGCCUAAGUCGGAUUAGCUAGUUGGUGGGGUAAAGGCCUACCAAGGCGACGAUCUGUAGCGGGUCUGAGAGGAUGAUCCGCCACACUGGGACUGAGACACGGCCCAGACUCCUACGGGAGGCAGCAGUGGGGAAUAUUGGACAAUGGGGGAAACCCUGAUCCAGCCAUGCCGCGUGUGUGAAGAAGGCCUUAUGGUUGUAAAGCACUUUAAGCGAGGAGGAGGCUACUGAGACUAAUACUCUUGGAUAGUGGACGUUACUCGCAGAAUAAGCACCGGCUAACUCUGUGCCAGCCGCCGCGGUAACAC
rnacentral:rRNA from 1 species